rnacentral:rRNA from 1 species
UACGUAGGGACAAGCGUUGUCCGGAAUUAUUGGGCGUAAAGCGCGCGCAGGCGGUCCUUUAAGUCUGAUGUGAAAGCCCACGGCUCAACCGUGGAGGGUCAUUGGAAACUGGGGGACUUGAGUACAGAAGAGGAAAGCGGAAUUCCACGUGUAGCGGUGAAAUGCGUAGAGAUGUGGAGGAACACCAGUGGCGAAGGCGGCUUUCUGGUCUGUAACUGACGCUGAGGCGCGAAAGCGUGGGGAGCAAACAGG